GCUCUUUCCAGAGAGCAGCACUAUCCACCAGCUCCUUCCACUCAUGACACACCAACCGACAGACUCGAAUCACCUGCUGUGCUGGCAGAUUCAGUAAGAUCUCCUCGACGACUGCUAGAGGGAAAGCUUGCAUACUUGUGCACUAGUAGGGCCUGAGAAAAAAGCAAGAUGGGGCAAAACUAUCUCUCUGCAGCUGGACAGAUCUCCACACUACUAUUAGUGACUCGUAUUCCAUACCAGCCUGCCCAGUACUGUGUAUCCAUCCCUCCAUGAGUAAAACGGAUAAACCGAACCCCAGCCCUGUAUUCCACUGCUGAAAGAAAACUUUUUCAGGCUGAAAGGUACUGAUCACUUCUCCUUUCUGAUCAAGCAACUCUACACAGAUCUCAUACUGACUCCCACAGUCGCAACGUGCGGCAUACCUGCACCAGACAAG